ensembl:lncRNA
AACACAUCCUACUAAUCUCUGUACAGGAAAGACUGAUGUGAAACUGAUAGCAAUCCGAAUUGUGUGGCUGUGGAGAAGUCUGUGGAAGAGACACACAGAGCUACAUUUUUUAACCUGAUUUGAAUGAUUUUCUGUUUUAAUUAUAGUUCAUUUUCAACCCUGGAAGUACUACGAUUGAUGAUGAUUUAUUCAAUGUACAAAAGAAACAUGAACUGUAGUUUUAUUGCACUUCCUCAAGAAAUCAUUCACAGCCGUGUGAAUGAUUUGUAGCACACGGGACCAUCUGCCGUCAGUAACUAAGAUCCAGACCAAAGUCACAGACUGGAGCAACCUAAGGUCACGUGUCUUGUCCAGGGACACUUGGACACUAGAAAAGUGUCCAAGGACCUCUGAUUAAAGGGUGACCCUGCUCUCCACCUUGUCACAGUUUCCAUAAAACAAAACACUGGAACAACUGAACUAUGAAGUGUGAUUGUGUGGUUAAUAUUUCAGGAAACAAGGUCAUGGAACUUAACACAGAUACAGCAUUACCAAGCCUCACCAUAAAGCAGACGGGAGGAACAAACAGCACAGCAUAGAUCUAUUGAGAUGUAAAGCAGGGAAAGAUUUCCUCAGUACAUCCCACAAUAAGCUGUCCUGGUUUACUGAAAGGACCAGAUGUCCCUCGUGGGGCUCACUAGAGCGGCAGGUGCUUCGCCGAGACUGGAAGUGUGUCAUCCUACUGCGUCUGUGCGUGUUCCACUUCCCCCCCAUCGCUUAGAUGACGGAGCAGGAACCCAAUGCAACACUUCUGUCCUGAGGGUGGCGCUAGAGGAGGUGAUCUCAUUGAAACAGGGGACAUUUCUGUGAUUACGGAGCAUUGGCAGUAAAUGUAAAUGUGUAUGUUUCGUUACGUUCUCAUCCAUUCAGAGUUCGUAUACGUGCACCCUACUUACGGAAAACCAUCAAGCUGAUUCUGACAUUUUACAAGCUGAGUUCCCUGGAUAGUGUUUGGAUAACACAGUGUGAUAGCUGAUACUGAAAGUAAAAGUAGUUCCUUAUCUUACAAGUUCUCACAGUUCAAAGAGGCCGCCAGGCUUUGAUGUCCACAUCUAGUCUGUAUUUUCCUCGUAGACAAUCCUGCUAGGGGUGUAUAAUCAUUGUUGGGCUAAAUAACCUUCUACUAUGUCCACGAUAAUCAUUCAUCAUGUACUAAUCUGUGUCAGAGGGGAGGAGGUUGGUGCAGAAUGUCCUUCAGUAAACAUUGUUAACUUUACCGUCUCAAUCCCUCCUUCGACCUCAUCAGCACAGCACGAGGUCUCAGAUAGUUCUGCUCCAUUUACAGUCAAACAGGCCGUAGAGCAGAGUAUGCUUUAGGGCGGGGCUACCUCGUGAUUGACAGGUCUCCACCACAGUGUUCUCUGGUUCGGAGAGAACAUUUCCCAACACAUCCGGUGGAUGAAAGUUGAUUGUAACUCACUGGCGGUUUGGUUGUUCCCUCCGUUCACUGCGUCCGGGGUUAAUGUCAAAACACAAAUUAAGAUGCUUAAACGAAGUAGAUUUACAGUUUGGCUCUUGGACAGUAGUCAGCGUUUGUUGUGUUAAUCCAAAUGACGUAACGGUAAUAAUUGGUGCUUCUCUUCGUAGCAGGAACGUCAGUCAUCGGGCCUCCAGCGGCAUUUUUGUUCCAGCGACUCAAUGCAACAAGUGUUGGACGCUGUCGCCUUCUGCAGAGGAGGAGGCUCCACUGUGACGUAAUCCAGCACAGGCCUUUGUUCCAUCUUCUAUUUAAUGCUAAUCCACGGAUUUUCUGCAAGUCUGAUGGGUGUAAAUACUGUCCUGUAAUGCUGCUUUAAAUGGCUUUCGUUCAAAGAGAAAACUGAAGCCACGACACGGGACUCCGGCCAGUUUGUGGCACAUAAUCAAACUCAAAGUCAUUCAUCCAUCACUAGUGCGACACCUUCACUUGUGAGACUUAAUCCAACAGUCUCCAAUAGACUAAAAUGUAAAGAAUCACUCAGAACUUUCACAAAGCCUCCAAAUUUGACACCCAGCUGUAAAUCAAUUGGAUCCAUGCUGUGUGGAAUGCAAAUGACCGUAAUGUGAUGAACAAAGAAUCAUUUGGCCUACUUAAACGCAGACCUGCAUCCUGUGUGUGUGUGUGUGUACAUCGCACACGCCAUUGUUCAGUGGAAUCUGUCUGGCCCGUAUUGUCCUUGUGUGGCGGCAUUGUUCGGCCCAGUCAGUUUGCGUUCCUGUGCACGUCGACGGCCAUUAUGCCGCCGGAGGACCGAGGGCUGUCAGAUCGAUCGGGGCGUUGGGGGAGGGGGGGGGGAGACAAAGAGGCAGCACCGCUUGGCUUGAAGAACGCCGCGAUGGGCUGAGAAGGGGGGAAAAAGGGAGAUGAUGGGUACGAGAAAAGCAGAACGCGUGGACCUAUCUUCUUCUAAAGGAGAGAAGUUCAACCGUUCAAAUGUUCCACACUGGAGUUCCUCUCAUGUCUUUAUUGGUGAUACUGUACAACAACUACACGUUAACCCAAGGACAAAAAAAGACAACUCAUAGAUACUUCAAUAAUACAUAAAACAAUAAGAAAUGCAAUAUUGUGGUUGACUGGUGUGUCGUAUUGGCAAUAAGGUAAAUACAUGAAGCUGUUUGGACAGGAUUUAGAUGCAUAUGUCCACAUAGAAGUAACUGUACUAGAAUCACGGCAGAGUAACCUGUCAAUCACAGUAAACACAUCCUGGUGUCGUUGACGCUAAUAGAGCAUCAUAUGAUCAACCAGAGAUUGAGUCCACCAUGUUUACGUCAUGGACUUAGAGGAAGGCGGGGAGACGUGUCCAUGAGAGGCAGGAGGGCCGCAUGGCGUCAGAAGGCGCGCCUGCUCUACCGUAUGGGGUCUAGUGUAUGGGGUCUACUCUAUGGGGUCUACUAUAUGGGGUCUAGUGUAUGGGGUCUACUCUAUGGGGUCUACUGUAUAGGGUCUACUGUAUGAGGUCUACUGUAUGAGGUCUACUCUAUGGGGUCUACUGUAUGAGGUCUACUGUAUGGGGUCUACUGUAUGAGGUCUACUGUAUGGGGUCUACUAUAAGGGGUCUACUGUAGGGGGUCUACUGUAUGGGGUCUACUGUAUGGGGUCUACUGUAUGGGGUCUACUGUAUGAGGUCUACUGUAUGGGACCUUUGGGGAGAGAGACAAAGGCAGCACCUGCUGUGGAGCAGCGGUGAGUCUCUCCUGAGAACAUGAGAUGAAUGAUAAUAAUCUGCAUUAACUUUCUUGCUAAAUACAGAUGACAAACACGUAGAGCUCCUUGUGCGACAGAUAGACUUCAGAACAUGUUUAUCAAACAGGCGGUGAGCCAAGGCCAAGCCAGCCAUGGUUCAUUGGACAACUACAAGACUUUGCCCAAAUUACAUGGCACAAGCCAGGCCGGUUGCCAGGCCGGUUGCCAGGCGGGCAGCUGGCAUCAGCUGCGUCAUUGUCUUUGAUCGCGGCGAGAGGAGAAGGCUCAUUCUUCUACGUCCUCUCAGCCUUCAGCUCACACGUCCGCGUCGACACCGCCAAGGAAAGAAAGUGGGGCACAAACAAGGGGGACAGUUUGGCUGGAAACGGCCGCGCCACGUCCAUCGGCUCAUGAGACGAGGGACUUCCUGAGGGGACGAUUCCGGCCACACUAUGACGUCAUGUGCACACCACCUUUUAUAUUUCCACCAUGUUUUCAUGCUAACGCUAGACCCGAUCCAGAGGGGCCACGUGUCACUCAAAUGAGACAAUAACAUCACACCCGGACGUAUUAAAGUGUCAAUAUGUCACACAGACACACCUCUCGUGCUCAGUGUGACGCAUUCAUGAGGAGGUUCUUUCCAGGGAACUGAUAACAUCA